AAACGUCGGGCUUGAUUUUACAUUACAUUGGAAAAUAAGGCCUUGUGUAAAUAAAGUAAAUAUCAUUGGCGAAUAAUUUUUUUUUUUUAUAAAAAGAAUUGUAAACGACAUCUUUUGUUCUUAGUUACUAUCGAAAAAAGCAGUCUCUUGACGGCAAGAGACCCAUAUGUUGUUUAAAUCCGAGCAUCAAAAAUCAAAUCUUCGCCGAUCUUCCUCGUCUGUUUGCUUAUUCAUAUCUGAAAAACCCUAUUUUUUCUUCACUGAUCUGCAGAACUUCUGCAAUUAACCACAAAUUUCUACAAAAAUCUACCGGAUUCCAACUCUUUUGUUGUCAUCAUUGUUCAUGAUACGAUAUUACGAUGUGUCGCCCGAAACUAAUCAAUCUUGCUGAUAACGGUAAAUGAAUAUGUUGCAAUAUGAAAGUGAAGAAACAAAGUCCUUACCUUUGCACGGUUAAGAAGAAAACUAAAUCAUUGGGAGUGAGAUGUAGAUGGUGCAUGUCACCUACUCACCUUAACCAUCUCAGACUGCACUACAAAAGGGGAAUUGGAGAUACAAAAUGUCCUGCUACAUCCACUUGCAGAUCCGGCUUAGACUUGCUCUCAAAGAUUGUGAGAGCAAAACCAUCAUUUGGUAACCUGUAUACAUUCAAAAUAUAGAAUCGAUAGUUUAAUUUCUGGCAUCCAUAAACAGAGAUGGUUAUUAAAAAUAUAAGUAGAUUUUCACCAAAUUUGGUCGUGAGUGUUUUCUAGGUACGAAGGACAUGCACCUGCACUCAAACCUCUCCAAGCAGACUUGACAUCGUCAAGGAAAGCAGUUGAUUGUGCCAUUGUUUGAAAAACAAAAAGGAACAAUGAGAGGUUUGUUACGAAUAUAAGUAAUUAUUUGAUAAGUUAGAAACGAUAAUGACGUUCUCUAUUUAUAGUGUAGUAGGUUGUUAGGGUUUUUGGAUCCAAGAUUUCCGAAAAUCUUGGAAAAAAGCAAAAAAUAUAAGAUACGGUAAAUAACAUAUAUUCGUAUUUGGUAAACUAA